GCCCUCAUAGUUAAAUGGAUAUAAUAAGCCCCUCCUAAGGGCUAGUUAUAGGUUCGAUUCCUAUUGGGGGUA
rnacentral:tRNA from 1 species